AGACAAUGGACAUCAAUCCACAGGAGUUGUUGAUGAGGCUGCAUUAGAAUCCACAUGCGCUUUUCCAAAUGAUUGCGGAAUGGAGCCUGGUGCUGGUCCUUGCACUGCAUCAUAAGAACACAAUAACAUUGACAGCAGAAACAAAUCACUUGAGAGGAAUGAUCCAGUCACCUCCCUCCCCAGAACAAGAAGGUGAGAACUGCUAGUCUUUGGCUGAUCAACGAGUUCUUUUCUAGGAAGCA